rnacentral:rRNA from 1 species
UACGUAGGGUGCGAGCGUUAAUCGGAAUUACUGGGCGUAAAGCGUGCGCAGGCGGUUUUGCAAGCCGGAUGUGAAAUCCCCGGGCUUAACCUGGGAAUGGCAUUUGGGACUGCAAGGCUGGAGUGCGGCAGAGGAGACUGGAAUUCCCGGUGUAGCGGUGAAAUGUGUAGAGAUCGGGAGGAACACCGGUGGCGAAGGCGGGUCUCUGGGCAAUUCCUGACGCUGAGGCGCGAAAGCGUGGGGAGCAAACGGG